CCUACGGGAGGCAGCAGUAGGGAAUCUUUCACAAUGGGCGAAAGCCUGAUGGAGCAACGCCGCGUGCAGGAUGAAGGCCUUCGGGUUGUAAACUGCUUUUAUAAGCGAGAAAUAUGAUGGUAACUUAUGAAUCAGGAUCGGCUAACUACGUGCCAGCAGCCGCGGUCAUACGUAGGAUCCGAGCAUUAUCCGGAGUGACUGGGUGUAAAGAGUUGCGUAGGUGACAUAAUAAGUAGCUAGUGAAAUCUGGUGGCUCAACCAUUCAGACUAUUAGCUAAACUGUUAAGCUCGAGACCGUUAGGGGUAACUGGAAUUUCUAGUGUAGGAGUGAAAUCCGUAGAUAUUAGAAGGAACACCAAUAGCGUAGGCAGGUUGCUGGGACGGUUCUGACACUAAGGCACGAAAGCGUAGGGAGCAAACGGGAUUAGAUACCCUAGUAGUC
rnacentral:rRNA from 1 species